rnacentral:piRNA from 1 species
UCACCUGAGCCAAGAAAUAAACC